GCAGCACGGGCUGAGACAGCAGGCUGUGCUGGCUGGUGGAAACCUCGGUCAGCAGCGCUCCGUCGUCCCUCUGGGUGGAACUCUCGGCUCGAGCUUCAGCCUGCAGGAACGUCAAAUGGAAAGGAUACAGCCACAGCACUCACUAUGAGGACAAUAACGCCCUCACGGUGCACAACACUCAGCUAAGCUGCAAUGCAAUAGAGCUGGGGUGCUCUUGUCUGUGGAUGGAGGUGGAGAGUUCAAGCAAGAAACCCAGCUACACAACUGGCUGCAGAAGAGAAGAUAAAACAUUAAAAGAAACCGGAUGCAAAAAAAAGGCCUGC